GUUUAUUUUUAAAACUUUACCCAUGCCGAACCACCCUGCUUUUUUUAAGCAAAGAUUCAUAUGUAUGUUCCUAGAAUAGGAAAUUACAUGUUUGUUUUCUGAUCUCUGAAAUGACUUUGUAAGAGAUGAUUUGCAUAGAAUUUUUCUUUUAUUCCAAUAUGGUACUAAGAAACAAGAGCUCCACUUACUAGGUUACUGUAGUUCCCGUUAGACACAGAACGAAUUUUACUAUUUAAUUUUCUUCCCCAUGUAAAUCCAUAAUGUAUGUACUUCUGAGCUGUGAGGAAGAGUUCAUAGGAAUCUCUGUUUGAGAUAGGUAGACAAGGGGUACAUUGUGUCAAAAGGGAUAAUGUAGUAUCUUUGACCUUUGAGCUUUUUUUCAUAUUGGUCAUUCCACUCUCAUGCCUAUGAAGUAUUUCUUAUUCUUGAAUGGCUUCAUAGCUCAAAACUUUGAGGAUUCUACCUAAAACCUGCUUGCUGUUUGUCCUCUGAUUUGUUCAAGAUUGAAAUCCCUUAUGUUUGGCUGGUUUGCCCACAUUACUAGGAUGUGGGAAAAUUUUAUACAUUUAAAUAAAAACAGUAUAAUUUAAGAUCUUCCAAGAGUAAGCUUCCUGUGGUAGGAAAGAUGGAAUGUGGUUUGUAUUCACAUCCGGGUUUCUUCCUCUUAUUGACUUGUGCUGUUUUAUUUCUGUUGGCAUAUGUAAGAAUGUUAACGUUUUUAUGAGUCACAUUUUUAUAAAUUAAUAGUAAAAUGGUUUUGUGUGUUCAUGUGAGGGAGAGCGGACAAUACAGUGUUUUAAUCAUUUUUGAAGGUAGCCUAUCAAAUUUUGAUAACGCAAACAUGUGAGUAUCUUAGAUUAAUCACAAUUGCAGAAUUAGAAUCACUGGUAAUGUGUUUAUUUCGCAACUUUAGUAAAAAUGCAUGUAAUGUCUGUAUAAAAAUAUUCCACACUUUUGCUAAUAGGACAUUGGAGAUUACAAUGAUCUUAAACUCAAAUCCUGCCUUGGGAUUUACAUACUGAAGCCAGAGAGGCUUAGUGACUCAACUCAUGUCACAAGCUAACAUUCCAUAAUUAUUCCGAGAGCAGUGCAAAACUUUCCUUAGUACAGAGGAGAAACAAUAUUUCCUUAAGUCUGGCAGAGCAGACAGGUGUUCUGUUUUGUUUCUUUAUGAUACUAGUCAAAUACAAUGUCCAGAUGUUUUGUUCUCACUUUAGUUUGCUCUAACUUCCCAGUUUUUAAGUUAGAAAAACCUUAUGUCUUCAGUUAGGACCAGAGGUCUCUUUCUUUUAAGCUCCACCUUUUUUCUUUGGAGACAGUGCAGUGCAUUUUCUGAAACAGAAAUGUCUGACUCAAGAACCUAGAUUGUGAUUUUUAGGUUACAGAAUAGUUUUCCCUGCAUUGCGCUUAGUUCCUAAAGUGAGCCAGCCGGUAAGAUAGAGAGGAUUAUUAUUCUGUCUUGCAGAGGAGAGACGUCAUGGCUUUCCGGAAUAAGCAGAGGCUUGAACCCAGGCCUCUUUGUUCUUCCCUCUGCCUGACACCUGCUCUGAAGACUGAGCAGUCUGCAGUCUGACUGUCCUGUGUGAACUCAGGCUCACCACGGAGAAGUCAGCUCUGCACGUGCAAAUAAAAUGGCUCUUAGCAGAGAGGCCUUGAGUGUGGCUGGGCACUCAGGUUUCCCUGCACGCACUGGCAGCUUUUUUACUUUAGCAAAAUCUGGCAGCUUUUGACAUUACAGCGAUCUUAAUCUCACAUCCCAACCAGACAGGCAGUUUUACUUCCAAAUCCUUUAGGAGAUUGCUUAAUUAUAUUGUUGCUUUAAGAAGAUAGUUCUCAUUCAUUCAUUCAGCAAACAUUUUUUUCUUUUUCUUUUUUAAUUGUUAGCUUUCGCUAGAUACUGGGAUACAAAGAAAAAUAAAUGAGGUUCCUGCCUUCAGGAACUUUAAAAAAAGGACAUACACAUAAUUUAGGUGAUAACUGCUGAAAACAUAAGAUGUUAAUUGUCCUCUCCAUUAUCGUAAUGCAUAAUGAGUACCUUUGGUAAUUAACAGCUUAUUCCAGUUCAGUUUCACAAUGAUUCCAGUUUACCUAGACUUCUCAAAGGAUAUUAGUCAGUUUCUUGUAUUACAUUAUGCAGUAUCAUUAACUUCCAAAUGAUAUUGCAGAACUAUUCUAAAUUAAUGAGGAAAAAAAUUACUCCAUUCCAUUAUACUCUUUGAAACGGAGGCUACACUGGGACACUUUUCAAAGUCAGGCAAACCUUAAUUGAUUUUGGAUUUGAUUCAAACAUAUUGUAUAGUUUUUUUUUUAUUUCUAGCAUUCAAAUAUGAAAUGAAUGGAUUUGGCGAGCACACUUUACUGAGCCUGCUGCUUUUGAAGUUCUGCAGAACUAAUCUCACGAAGCGCCUCCCUUAGUAAACGCAGCAGUGAUAGAGUGUCUCCCACUGCGGCAUUGUAGUGUGGAUGGGCAUGUGAUUCUGUUUAUUGUACGCAGUUGGCCUUUUUACAUACUUAAUGUGGGUGUUGGUUUUUUUUUUUUAGGUUAUAUUAACUGGGAAUUUGAGGUUUGGGGCCAGAAACUAAAUAGGGUUUUUAUAGGAUUAACAAUAUUAUGUACGAGUUGAACCUAUUUGACUGAGUUUUAUGCAGUUGUUA